rnacentral:lncRNA from 1 species
CUGAGGAGAAGGGGCUUGCUGUCUGGAGAUGUCUCUUCAAGCAAGAUUACAAAUUCAGGACAAGCCAUUUGACCUAGGAGUGAUAAUGUGGAUAAGCUCUGUAAGACAAGAGAGGGAUCGCAGCAUAAGAGAGGUUAGAAUUUCCUGGCUGGGAAGUAAUAUGAUUCGGGAAACAAGGAAUGUUGUUACUCGUGAUACGAUGCAACCCCAAUGACAGCUGGACCUAGGAGCAAGGUGGAAGAAGAAUUGAGAUUACCACCAGUCACCUCCCACCAGGACCUCACUUCAAGGAGUGGGGGUUCCCCCCAAACAGGGCUGGAAUUCUUGUUUCCCUUCUUAUCUACUUUUUCUUUGCUGAAAUUAGGGUGAUGACAUUUUUGAGGAAAUGUUAUGCUUCCAUUUAAAAAUUGUUGGCUAGCCUCUAGUGGACCCCAAAAGUAAUACAAAGUAGGCUUGCCUCUGCCAUAGCUACUCUUUGUUACACCCCUUCCAGUCUGAACUUACACUUUCCAGAAAAUGGAUAAUGAAAGCAGCUCAGACUACUGCACACAAAAUUUAACUUACCUUUUGUACAAAGGCAUUGCUGCCCUUUUAUCUGUUUUGAGGAAUACCACAACAGACAUACCUAAGGACUGCACUUUUUUUCAUGGCCACAUCAUCUUUGCAGCUCAUAGUUCCCUCAGAUGAAAUUAAUCUCACACAGAUAUAUCUAAGUAGGCAACAUAGGGUUCUGUUCUGGUCAAUUUACAGAAGCAGACACUGAGGGAUCACUAAUCUUGCCAAAAUUCUAUUUCAGAGUCAAAUGGACUAUGCCAUAAAAGUGCUGCCUAUUUCUCUCAGUUGACUGUAAUGGUAUACAUCUGUCUUUGGUUUCUUUUCUUGCAAUCAGUGAUUAGGUCUUUCCUAUCUCUGUCAUACCUAGUGAAUAAGCUCUAGGAAAAAUUCUCCUUAUACAUCUUUAGUCUGUGUGAUUAAAUUUUAUCUGAUUUUUUUUCCUUCAGUUCUCAAUGUCACCUCAUUCUCCCUUUAUGAUAUCCCUGUUCAAACUCUUUGCACUGCAUCUUUCUUGUGUGUGUCUGCUCAUUUUUAAGUUUGUCAGAUAACUGUCCACUAAUAAAGGUGGAAAUCAGUAUUCCCCA